AUUCAGUGAAUCAUCGAAUCUUUGAACGCAUCUUGCGCUCCUUGGUAUUCCGAGGAGCAUGCCUGUUUGAGUGUCAUUA
rnacentral:rRNA from 1 species